GACGAACGCUGGCGGCGUGCCUAAUACAUGCAAGUUGAGCGCUGAAGGUUGGUACUUGUACCAACUGGAUGAGCAGCGAACGGGUGAGUAACGCGUGGGGAAUCUGCCUUUGAGCGGGGGACAACAUUUGGAAACGAAUGCUAAUACCGCAUAAAAACUUUAAACACAAGUUUUAAGUUUGAAAGAUGCAAUUGCAUCACCCAAAGAUGAUCCCCCGUUGUAUUAGCUAGUUGGUGAGGUAAAGGCCCACCAAGGCGAUGGUACAUAGCCGACCUGAGAGGGUGAUCGGCCACAUUGGGACUGAGACACGGCCCAAACGCCUACGGGAGGCAGCAGUAGGGAAUCUUCGGCAAUGGACGAAAGUCUGACCGAGCAACGCCGCGUGAGUGAAGAAGGGUUUCGGAUCGUAAAACUCUGUUGGUAGAGAAGAAAGUUGGUGAGAGUGGAAAGCUCAUCAAGUGACGGUAACUACCCAGAAAGGGACGGCUAACUACGUG
rnacentral:rRNA from 1 species